AUUGAACGCUGGCGGCAUGCUUUACACAUGCAAGUCGAACGGUAACAGGCCGCAAGGUUCUGACGAGUGGCGAACGGGUGAGUAAUGCAUCGGAACGUGCCCAGUCGUGGGGGUUAACUACUCGAAAGAGUAGCUAAUACCGCAUACGAUCUAUGGAUGAAAGCGGGGGACCGGAAGGCCUCGUGCGAUUGGAGCGGCCGAUGUCAGAUUAUGUAGUUGGUGGGGUAAAGGCUCACCAAGCCAACGAUCUGUAGCUGGUCUGAGAGGACGACCAGCCACACUGGAACUGAGACACGGCCCAGACUCCUACGGGAGGCAGCAGUGGGGAAUUUUGGACAAUGGGCGCAAGCCUGAUCCAGCAAUGCCGCGUGCAGGAAGAAGGCCUUCGGGUUGUAAAGUGCUUUUGUACGGAACGAAACGGCUCUGGUUAAUACCCGGGGCUAAUGACGGUACCGUAAGAAUAAGCACCGGCUAACUACGUG
rnacentral:rRNA from 1 species